UGGCUCUCGCAUCGAUGAAGAACGCAGCGAAAUGCGAUAAGUAAUGUGAAUUGCAGAAUUCAGUGAAUCAUCGAAUCUUUGAACGCACCUUGCGCUCCUUGGUAUUCCGAGGAGCAUGCCUGUUUGAGUGUCGUGAAAUCAUCAACUCCUCCUUUUUCAUUUGAGAGAGGUUGAGCUUGGACUUGGGGAUUUGCUGGCCUGUGUCGGCUUCCCUUGAAUGCAUUAGCUGGAACCUGAUUUUGCAGCAUAUAUGCGGUGUGAUAAUGUCUUCACUGCGUAGCUCAAGUCAUCUGGCUUCAAAUUGUCUUUGGACAACUUUUGACAAUUAGGCCUCAAAUCAGGUAGGACUACCCGCUGA
rnacentral:misc_RNA from 1 species